AUAUAGUAAGCGGAGGAAAAGAAACUAAAUAGGAUUCUCUUAGUAAUGGCGAAUGAACUGGGAUGAGCUCACCAUGGGAAUCGGGGUCUUCGACCUUGAAUUGUAGUCUUGAGACGCACCGCCAACAGAGGCGCAGGUGUAAGCCUCUUGGAAGAGAGCAUCGCGGAGGGUGAGAGUCCCGUCUGUCACCUGCAGUCCCCUGUGUACGGCAUGCGUUCUGAGAGUCACGUUCCUCGGGAUUGGAGCGCAAAUUGGGUGGUAAGUUUCACCUUAAGCUAAAUAUUGGUCCGAGACCGAUAGCAAACAAGUACCAUGAGGGAAAGGUGAAAAGGACUUUGAAAAGAGAGUUAAAAGUGCUUGAAAUUGCUGAAAGGGAAGCGAAUGGAACCAGUUCUGCUGGGCGAGAUUGUCGCAUGCCAAGGCCCUGUGCCGGCCGCAUGCGGUGCUUCUUGCCUUGUGUGUCAGCUGCGGUCCGAAGUUGGGGAAAACUCUGGGGACAUGGAUGCCAACCUCCGGGGGGGUGAAUGUGCCUGGCAAGACCCGUCCUUGGACUGUGAGCAGUGCUUCGGCAUGUUUGCGGUGCUGACGAAAUGCUUCUAUUCGACCCGUCUUGAAACACGGACCGAGGAGUCUAACAUGUGUGCGAGCUCACGGGUGUCAAACCUGCUUGCGCAAUGAAAGUGACUGCUGGGAUACUUGCACCAGCAACCGAUCUGUCAACUGAGAGAGAUUUGAGUUUGAGCAUACCUGUUAGGACCCGAAAGAUGGUGAACUAUGCUUGUGUAGGGCAAAGCCAGGGGAAACUCUGGUGGAGGCUCGUAGCGAA
rnacentral:rRNA from 1 species